AUUGAACGCUGGCGGCAGGCCUAACACAUGCAAGUCGAACGAGUGGCGGACGGGUGAGUAAUGUCUGGCAAACUGCCUGAUGGAGGGGGAUACCUACUGGAAAAGGUAGCUAAUACCGCAUACCAUCGGAUGUGCCCAGAUGGGAUUAGUUAGUAGGUGGGGUAAAGGCUCACCUAGGCGACGAGCCCUAGCUGGUCUGAGAGGAUGACCAGCAAAAGUGGAACUUAGACACGGUCCAGACGCCGACGGGAGGAAGCAGUGGGGAAGAUUGCACAAUGGGCGAAAGCCUGAUGCAGCCAUGCCGCGUGGAUGAAGAAGGACUUCGGGUUGUAAAGUACGUUCAGCGGGGAGGCGUUACCCGCAGAAGAAGCACCGACUAACUCCGUGUCAGCAGCCGCGGUAAUAC
rnacentral:rRNA from 1 species